CCCGCAGCGCGAUCCGGCGGGGCGAUGGCCGAAGCGAGGCUGGGCUCCGAGCUGCUCGCGGGCGGGCCCGUCCUCCUGGCUGGCCGCCCGCGCCCGCCGCAGGGCCCCCUCGAGGCGGCUCGGGCAAUCGCCGCGGACGGCCCGCGCACUGGGGCCCGGCCGGUCACCUGGUCUCAUCACCCUAACAAUCUCCAGCGCUUCAGGGGUUGGACCCCCUCCCCGCCCCCCAGGGUUCCAGACCAGAAGGACGAGCUCUUAAAACACCCUCCCACCUCGCUGGCUUCCCUAAGCACCUCGGGGGGCCCAGUACUUUAGAGACUCAUCAGUUCCAAGUGCACCUGGAGAGGGAGAAAUGAGAUAUACUGAACCUCCCUAGAGAUCACAAAGGAGCUUCCAUCAGUUUCAAGUGGAUACCAGCAGCUCUUGAUAAUCUCUGAUACUGUUCCAAGAACACACUCACGGAAAACCAGGAUCGUCAGGAAUGAUGGGAAAGCAGAACUCUGUUUUCAGCGCAACCUUCAUCUGAAACCCUGGAUCCAAAGGUGUCCAAGAGGUCAUGAGGGAGACACAGAACCCUGGGAAAUGAUUCUUUAGAAGAAGAUAGAUGGAUGUUUUCCAAAGACCUACUGAAUGGCAACAGGAAACAGACACAUGGCGGCAGCAUCACCGGUGGUGCCACCGGUGAGGCCCUUGGGUUUGAGCGUGAACACAUGCCAAGGCUUGGCCUUCAGAUGUCACGUUCUCGGAGAACUUCAUUGAACCCUGUGCCCUUUCUCUUCUUCUCUCUCCCCAGACAUGCAGCUCCUCACACACACUGGCCAAUCCCAAGCAGGAUCACCUCACUUUUGUUUAUUUAUUUAUUUAUUCAGAUUAAAUAAAAAAACAAAACAGGACCUCACUAUGAAGCCCAUACUGUUCUCAAAAUUCAUAAUUUUCUUACCUCUGCCUCCCAAGUGUUUUUUUUACAGAUGGAAACACUACAGCCUGGCCUGACCCUUGUCUACAUUAUCUCUAGAACUUUCUACGGACCUAUUGGCCAGGUGUAUGUGUAACCUUGAAAAGGACAAUGGAUGCAUAGACUGCUAGACCAACGUUAUUUAGAAGCCUUUUUGAAGAUGUCUCAAGUGCAUCUUGGCAUCUGGAUCAGCACAGCGAGUAAGGACAGCCUUCCCCGAUGCUGCUGUGCAUCCUCCAGUCCCCUGAGUGCUGAGGAGGGACAAAAGACAGAAGAGCAAACGUUCUUUCUUCUUGAGCUUGUGAAUUCAUGUUGUCCUGCCCUUGAACAGAUCGCUUCUGGCUCUUACUACAGCUUCCCUGGCUCUGUAGCUUGCGGGCAGCCGAUGGUGGGGUUUCCUGGCCUCCAUAGUCUAACA